rnacentral:rRNA from 1 species
AUUGAACGCUGGCGGCAGGCCUAACACAUGCAAGUCGAGCGGAGCGGCGGACGGGUGAGUAAUACCUAGGAAUCAGCCUGGUAGUGGGGGAUAACGGUGGGAAACGGACGCUAAUACAGCAUACUAUCAGAUGAGCCUAGGUCGGAUUAGAGAGUUGGUGGGGUAAUGGCUCACCAAGGCUACGCUCCGUAACUGGUCUGAGAGGAUGAUCAGUCACACUGGAACUGAGACACGGUCCAGACUCCUACGGGAGGCAGCAGUGGGGAAUAUUGGACAAUGGGCGAAUGCCUUAUCCAGCCAUGCCGCGUGUGUGAAGAAGGUCUUCGGAUUGUAAAGCACUUUAAGUUGGGAGGCGUUACCGACAGAAUAAGCACCGGCUAACUCUGUGCCAGCAGCCGCGGUAAUAC